UCUAACCUUGUUCGAAAUUGGAGCUAGGUCACAUGAAAUCCACCCCCGAUUCCUUUAAUCUAAUUACAUAGUUUAGUUGAUGAAUAGAAACCCAAUAUCUAUAUUGUGACAACAUCCUGUCCAACUAUAACCAAUUCGAGUAAAAAUACGAGCAAAUAGCUAAGUGAACAAAUUCAUAACUACGGAAAACCAAUUACAGAAUCAACGGACUCAUAUCACCAAGCAAGCAAGCAAUCUUUAAGCUACAACAAACUGAACAGUAGUCCCAAAUUCAUAAAUAAAGCAAUUCACACAACAAAGUAUUUACAUGAAGGAAGCAUAGCUGAUUCGUUCAAUCCAAAAUCCAACAAAUAUAUUAUAAUUUCAAACGCAUAUGCAUCAAAUGGAUUCAAUUCAUCAACUCGUCGACUUCUUUCCCUUCUGCAUUUUUCGUUGUAUUCAAUCAACAAUAACACAAAACGAGAAACUAAUUCAAACUGAGGGAAAUCAGAUUUGAAGUAUCAAUCAACUGAAAAGCAACUCACAUCUAGCUUUGCAAUUCUGAAAAAUAGUCGAAACUGAAGCAAACUACCCAGUUUAUAGCAUAAAACUAUUACUCAAAAUGUCACGCAACAUCAUAUCAUUGAACAGCUACUGAAACUGAAGCAUAUAAUCUUCACCUAAGUGACGAAAUGAAACAGAGGAAAAGGGAACUUGAAUACUGAAAUUUGCAGAGUGAAAAAGGAAAAAUUAUUACACAUUUCAAUAAUAGCUCAUCCAACGACAUUUACAUCAUUUCAAAACGAAAGUACAUACCUGAUACACAACUAAAAAUCGAAUAGAAAACUGGAGCAAAGGCACCACCAGACCUCGAAUAGAAACCUCAACGGACUGUCAACGGCCUCGGCGAUGAUUUAAACCAGCUUCGAACCUCUGCUCACAUCCAUUUUUUCAAACCAAAUCCGAAAUCAAAGAUCAUAAACAACAUUUUUUGAGAAAACGACCACCUGAAGCCAAGUCUUCUUCAAGUCAAAACAGAAACAUUUUAUGAUUUUUAGAAUUUUAGAAGAAGAAAAGAAUCACAAAUAAUAGAGAACUGUUUUUUUCGAACUCCAAAGAUUCUUCUCCAGACCCUCUGUUUUUUGGAUUUUUGGAAUGAAAGUCGUCCCAAAUUCUCACUCUCGCUCCUUUUUCUGUUCGUGUGUGUAUGUUUCUAAUGAAGAUAGUUGAAGGGUUACUGGAUUUUGCUCAGAAACGAGAGAAAAGCUGGUGGGGUCGUUUUUGUGUUUCCUCCGAGUAUUGGAAUCUGGUUUGUUUUUGUACUGCUCAUCUCUCUUGUUGAAGAGAAGGGGACACGGAAUUUCCAUGUCUCUAGCUCAGGGGAGG
rnacentral:lncRNA from 1 species